UUUGUUGACACGCAGUAGCUGUUUCUUAUUUUUUACAGUCUGGAGCCCGUCCUUGGGUAAUGACGGAAGUUCUGAAAGCACUGCAUGAAAUGAGUGUGCGUUGGAAGAAUAUAGGGCAUUAUAACACGAAGUGCAGUGGCUU